UAGGGAAUCUUCCACAAUGGACGAAAGUCUGAUGGAGCAACGCCGCGUGAGUGAAGAAGGGUUUCGGCUCGUAAAACUCUGUUGUUAAAGAAGAACAUAUCUGAGAGUAACUGUUCAAUGUGUGACGGUAUCCUACCAGAAAGGAACGGCUAAAUACGUGCCAG
rnacentral:rRNA from 1 species